UAACGAAUCUUCCGCAAUGGGCGAAAGCCUGACGGAGCAAUGCCGCGUGUGGGAUGAAGCAUCUAUGGUGUGUAAACCACUGUCAGGGGGCGGAAACAAUGAUUGCCCCCGAGAGGAAGUGGCGACUAACUCUGUGCCAGCAGUCGCGGUAAUACAGAGGCCACAAGCGUUAAUCGGAAUCACUGGGCUUAAAGGGUGCGUAGGCGGAUUUGCAAGCGUCUUGUGAAAGCCCCCGGCUCAACCGGGGAACUGCAGGGCGAACUGCAAGUCUUGAGGCAGGUAGGGGCCGCGAGAACAGUAGGUGGAGCGGUGAAAUGCGUAGAUAUCUACUGGAAUGCCGAUGGGGAAGCCGCGCGGCUGGGCCUGACCUGACGCUGAGGCACGAAAGCGUGGGGAGCAAAC
rnacentral:rRNA from 1 species